rnacentral:lncRNA from 1 species
ACAUCCAAAAUAUGAUAUAAAAAACUCUAAAUUCUUAUAUAUCUUUAUGAGAUAUUAUUCCUAAAUUUCAAAAACUCAUAUCUUCUAAUUAGACUAUUCAAACACACUCAAAUUUUACGUGAAGUAUUGAUGUACUUCUAACAACUAUCACAAAAAAAUUCAAUUGUAAAUUCGUUGCAGAUCUUAAGAUAUAACCAAAAUCCUAACAGUAGCUUCAAAUCCUAUUUUUUAUACACUCACAUGCAAUUUUCUUCAUAUCUCACAAAUUAAGCACUCAAAUGCUACAAAGUUCAUAUGUAUAGCUUCUUAACACAAUAAUUCAUCUUUUUUAACACAUUUGAACCAAAAAUUUGUCUAGAAACUCAAGAUAUGGCUCCAAUCAU